rnacentral:rRNA from 1 species
AUGAACGCUGGCGGCGUGCCUAAUACAUGCAAGUCGAGCGAACGGACGAGAAGCUUGCUUCUCUGAUGUUAGCGGCGGACGGGUGAGUAACACGUGGAUAACCUACCUAUAAGACUGGGAUAACUUCGGGAAACCGGAGCUAAUACCGGAUAAUAUUUUGAACCGCAUGGUUCAAAAGUGAAAGACGGUCUUGCUGUCACUUAUAGAUGGAUCCGCGCUGCAUUAGCUAGUUGGUAAGGUAACGGCUUACCAAGGCAACGAUGCAUAGCCGACCUGAGAGGGUGAUCGGCCACACUGGAACUGAGACACGGUCCAGACUCCUACGGGAGGCAGCAGUAGGGAAUCUUCCGCAAUGGGCGAAAGCCUGACGGAGCAGCGCCGCGUGAGUGAUGAAGGUCUUCGGAUCGUAAAACUCUGUUAUUAGGGAAGAACAUAUGUGUAAGUAACUGUGCACAUCUUGACGGUACCUAAUCAGAAAGCCACGGCUAACUACGUG